rnacentral:lncRNA from 1 species
GGCAGGGUGCUGCAUGUCCUGUCCUUCCACUGCAAUUAUUGCUCUUCUCUAGAUGUGACUUCAGUGAAUAACAAGUGUUAGAGUCACUGACACCUCAAACGUUCUUUGAAGAGACUAAAAGAUGGAAAGGUUAAAAAAAUAUGCAAUGUCUAACUAAUGUUGAUUAUGAAAAUUGAUUGUUUUUGCAUAACCCUUUCUGCUUAGGAGAAAAAUGAAGGCAGUGCCUUCUUCCAGUUUAAACUUCCCAGUUUUAACUCAAUAUUUGUAUCAGAGUUUCCAGUCCCACCACUGCUGCCAGAUUCCAGGUUUGCCUUUACUGGAAUGUCUUUCCAGUGCUGCCAGACUCCAAGAUCAUUAAUUAGUUGGAGCUGAAGGAAUUCAGAGAUAAUUUGUUCUUAAUGCA